GACGAACGCUGGCGGCGUGCUUAAUACAUGCAAGUCGAGCGGUAAGGCCCUUUCGGGGGUACACGAGCGGCGAACGGGUGAGUAACACGUGGGUGACCUGCCCUCAGCUCUGGGAUAAGCCUGGGAAACCGGGUCUAAUACUGGAUAUGACUCCAUGACGCAUGUUGUGGGGUGGAAAGCCUUGUGCGGCUGAGGAUGGGCCCGCGGCCUAUCAGCUUGUUGGUGGGGUGAUGGCCUACCAAGGCGACGACGGGUAGCCGGCCUGAGAGGGCGACCGGCCACACUGGGACUGAGACACGGCCCAGACUCCUACGGGAGGCAGCAGUGGGGAAUCUUGCGCAAUGGGCGAAAGCCUGACGCAGCGACGCCGCGUGAGGGAUGACGGCCUGG
rnacentral:rRNA from 1 species